rnacentral:rRNA from 1 species
GAUGAACGCUGGCGGCAUGCCUAACACAUGCAAGUCGAACGAAGCCUUCGGGCUUAGUGGCGCACGGGUGCGUAACGCGUGGGAAUCUGCCCUUGGGUUCGGAAUAACAGAGAGAAAUUUCUGCUAAUACCGAAUGAUGUCGCAAGACCAAAGAUUUAUCGCCCAGGGAUGAGCCCGCGUAGGAUUAGCCAGUUGGUGUGGUAAAGGCGCACCAAGGCGACGAACCUUAGCUGGUCUGAGAGGCUGAUCAGCCACACUGGGAAUGAGACGCUGCCAGGAAUCAUACGGGGGGCAGCAGUGGGGAAUAUUGGACAAUGGGCGAACGACUGAUCCAGCAAUGCCGCGUGAGUGAUGAAUGCCUUAGGGUUGUAAAGCUCUUUUACCCGGGAAGAUAAUCACUGUACCGGGAGAAUAAGCUCCGGCUAACUCCGUGCCAGCCGCCGCAGUAA